GGAGGUAUGGUUCAAGUGCUAAGAGUACCUGCUUAGCAAACAUGAGGGCCUGAGUUCAAAUCCCAGUACUGUCA
rnacentral:tRNA from 1 species